UGAAAAUGGAUGGCCAGGAAGGAUAUAAGAGUCAAGAUUACAUACUGUUUUUUUUUUUUCAAAGUUCUUAAGACUGAGCCUUCCAUAUGUCAUGAUCUUUUUGAGUGAUAAUCCUCUAUGCAGGUUGAGACUGGCUAGAUGCUCCACUUUGGAAGGUGGGUUUUGCUGGCCUGUCCUGGAGCACAGUGGGCACAUGACUUAGGCAGCAGUCUUAGAACCACUUUUUAUUCAGAUCCAACAUCAAGGGUCAGCCCUAGACAGAGCCUUGUUGACCCCAGAGUUGGGGCAUUUAGCCAGGGUGUCUGCUUGGGUGUCCUACUGUGAAAACUGUCUUUGGUGGUGUUUUAGACAACCUUCAGACAGGUCACUACUCUCUUUAAUGAAGAGCGGACACUCAGAAGGGACUGAUUGCCAGGUCUCAUUGUAGGCCUCACAUGGCUGAAGGUAUCACUGAGACCACUAAGUUUAAUCCAGUUGUAUGAGAGAGGUUUCUGUGAUCUGGUUUAGCCUUGACACUUGUAUACAGACAAAUAAGCAUGAUGCUGCCACAGCCAGUCUUUUCAAUUCCAGGGAAAGUGGACAUUGAGUUCAUGAUGCAUAGAAACAAAGAUAAAGUCAGAAAUCAGAGACAUGGAUUCAGAGGGAUCUUGGGAUAACUUGGGGCAAGUAUCACAUCUCUCCAGUCUUACCCUCUGUCCCCAAACCAUACAGAGGAACAGUUUAUGGAGAAGGUGAGUAUCUUCUUACACCUGUAUAGGAGGACUGGAAUUCUCCCAUUGGCCAGCUACUUAGUCUGUAAUGGACUGAAGAAUGUGAGCAGGAUGAUUUACAUAGCCUUGCAAGGAAAACCAGCUCAGAGGCUGAGCUUCUUAUGUGGCUAUAGCUGCUCUACAUCGCUGGGAUGUUUCAGUCCUUAUGCACUUUCCUGAAGCUAAGGCCUGGGAAGGGAGACUUGGGUGCUGUAGGCAGGUCAGUGAAUCCCAGGACAGACAGUUCAGGAGAAUCACUAGCUCCAGACCCAGGUGAUAGUCUCUUAAGGUGAAUCUCAGUAUAAACAGAUGGGAGGUUUAUAUGUCUUUAUCCUGACAUUUGCCUUGGGUCCUGUUGGGACUUUGGGUGUCCCUGACACUAGAGUCUUGUUGCUGCCUUUAGCCUUCUACAGCUGAAGGCCAGGCACCUGCACCCAGCACCUCCCCCCUUCACUGUCUGUCUGCUGGAUGGAGCAAGAUCAGGUGCAAGCAGUACCAGUUACUUGUAGCAGGACAUUCACACAAAUCAUCCCAAAUCUGUCCACAGGUCUUCCCCUUACAGAGGACAAAGGUGAGUCCUUUAGAUGCUCUUCUGGAGAUAGCAUGUUUCAUGGGACACUGUUUAAAUUCCACCAAGUGAUCCAGUGACCAAGCCAUGAUGACCAAUUUGGUACAGCCGAAUCACUUGGAGUCUCGCAGGUCAACUCCAGAACUCUAAUUUGCCAUGCUUUCUCUCCUACCAUAUGCAGGUUCUUUGGACAUGGUCUAUCAUGGAAGCCUAUUUUCACCAAGUGCCUGGCCACAUUCUGAAACAUGUACCCAGGGAAUGAGGACACGCACACUCAGCACUAGUGCCAGUGAUGGAGGAGAACAUUCCAGCCUCCCAUUUGACUAGAGAACUAGCAGAUCAAUUCCUGAGCUCUAAAGGAGCUCAGAGGCUCCACAAAGCUUCAGGAGGGCAUGCUGUGGGGGGCAGUGAAAUGGUUUCUGUUCCAGCAUCUAAGCACAGACCACCACCUCCAAUUCUAAGCAAGAUCUAGAGACAACAGGAGGAUACUCCAGAAAGUCUCCAGUGUGGAUGGGUUCUUGUUGAAUCCCCACCCCAAAUUGAUGCUGUGUGUAUUUUGACAGUUCAGAAAGAUCACCUAUGCCUCUGUCUUCACAGAUGACCUAGGAAACCUGCCUGCAUAAAUAAAAAGGAGUGUCCCAGGAGAGCCUUGGGAAGCAAAUGUG